rnacentral:rRNA from 1 species
GGAUUCCUACGGGACGCAGCAGUGGGGAAUAUUGGGCAAUGGACGCAAGUCUGACCCAGCAACGCCGCGUGAAGGAAGAAGGCUUUCGGGUUGUAAACUUCUUUUAAGGGGGAAGAGUAGAAGACGGUACCCCUUGAAUAAGCCACGGCUAACUACGUGCCAGCAGCCGCGGUAAUACGUAGGUGGCAAGCGUUGUCCGGAUUUACUGGGUGUAAAGGGCGGGCAGCCGGAGAGUCAAGUCAGAUGUGAAAUCCACGGGCUCAACCCGUGAACUGCAUUUGAACCUGUU